rnacentral:lncRNA from 1 species
GACGUGAACCCAGGAGGCGGAGCUUGCAGUGAGCCGAGAUUGCGCCCCUGCAUUCCAGCCUGGGCAACAGAGCAAGACUCCGUCUCAAAAAAAAAAAAAAAGAAAAAAAAAUAUGCAUAUAACACUUCUAUUUGUCAAUUAAACAUAAAAAAUAAAAAUAAAUUGAGGUAAAGUACAUAAAUUAUUAUAUUAAUAAGAAUUCAUGCUCUCUUUCCCUUGAGAGCACUACUGAAGAUCCUGGUGUCGCCAUGGGCCGCCGCCCCGCGGGUUGUUACCGGUAUUGUAAGAACAAGCCGUACCCAAAGUCUCGCUUCUGCCUCUGAAGCCCUGGAGGCUAACAACACAAAAAAUCUCAGCCAC